rnacentral:rRNA from 1 species
AUGGCGUCCGCCGCGCGGGCUUUGGGUGCGUUAAUCCACAGGGCCUCGUCGCUGUCCUCCUCCGCCUCCGCCCUCAGGAGCGCCUCCCUUGUACACAGGAAUGGCCCAACUGGUGGCGCCAGCUUGUUCCAGGGGCACGUGGCUAGGCGGAGGAUUUCGACGUUCCAGCCGCUCUGUAUGGGGCGGCGCUCCUGCAAGAUCGCCGGGAGGAAGGGUGCUCAGAAUUUGAAAAAGAUGAAGCGCAACAGCAAAAUCGGAAAGGAAAUCGUUGCUGCCAUCAAGAAGGGUGGUCCAAGUCCUUCGUCCAACACAGCUUUAGCAGCGAUACUAGAGAAAGUAAGAGAGCUUGAUGUCCCCAAGGAAGUUGUUGAGCGUAACAUCAAAAGAGCUUCAGAAAAGGGUCAGGAUACUUACACAGAAAAGAUUUAUGAGGUCUAUGGUUUUGGUGGAGUAGGUAUGGUCGUUGAGGUCCUUACAGACAAAAUUACAAGAUCUAUUGCGGAUAUUAGAAAUGUUGUAAAAGACUGUGGAGCAAAAUUGGCUGAUCCUGGGUCUGUUACAUUCAGAUUCAGACAAGCUCGAGUGGUUAACAUAAAAGUUACAGAUGCCGAUAAGGACCAACUACUCUCUGUUGCUUUGGAUGCUGGCGCCGAUGAUGUUAUUGAACCAAAUUUUGAUGAUGAAGAUGACUCUGAAGAAGAGGUUCUAGAGAGGUUUUACAAGAUAGUUACUACAUCUGAAAACUAUCCUGUUGUGCUAUCAAAGCUACAAGAGGAAGGGCUGAAAUUUGAAACGGAUAACGGUUAUGAACUGCUGCCUCUCAAUCCGAUUGAGGUGGAUGACGAGGCCAUGGAACUUAACAAGGACCUUGUAUUUAAGUUGCUUGAAUUGGAUGAUGUUGAUGCUGUCUACACAGACCAAAAGUGA